UACGUAGGGGGCAAGCGUUGUCCGGAAUCAUUGGGCGUAAAGCGCGCGUAGGCGGCCAGAUAAGUCCGGUGUGAAAGUCACAGGCUCAACCUGUGAAUGCCGCUGGAAACUGUCUGGCUUGAGUCCGGAAGGGGCGAGUGGAAUUCCUGGUGUAGCGGUGAAAUGCGCAGAUAUCAGGAGGAACACCAAUGGCGAAGGCAGCUCACUGGAACGGUACUGACGUUGAGGCGCGAAAGCGUGGGGAGCGAACAGG
rnacentral:rRNA from 1 species